CUGUGCCCCUGUCCCAACAAGGAAGGACAAGAACAAGAGAUGUGAGUCACACUCCCGGCCUCCUGUCUUUCCUUGUUGGAGCAGGCAUG
rnacentral:miRNA from 10 species